rnacentral:rRNA from 1 species
AGCUUGCUACCUGACCUAGCGGCGGACGGGUGAGUAAUGCUUAGGGAUCUGCCUAUUAGUGGGGGACAACAUUCCGAAAGGAAUGCUAAUACCGCAUACGCCCUACGGGGGAAAGCAGGGGAUCUUCGGACCUUGCGCUAAUAGAUGAGCCUAAGUCAGAUUAGCUAGUUGGUGGGGUAAAGGCCUACCAAGGCGACGAUCUGUAGCGGGUCUGAGAGGAUGAUCCGCCACACUGGGACUGAGACACGGCCCAGACUCCUACGGGAGGCAGCAGUGGGGAAUAUUGGACAAUGGGCGAAAGCCUGAUCCAGCCAUGCCGCGUGUGUGAAGAAGGCCUUUUGGUUGUAAAGCACUUUAAGCGAGGAGGAGGCUACUUGGAUUAAUACUCUAGGAUAGUGGACGUUACUCGCAGAAUAAGCACCGGCUAACUCUGUGCCAGCAGCCGCGGUAAUACAGAGGGUGCGAGCGUUAAUCGGAUUUACUGGGCGUAAAGCGUGCGUAGGCGGCUUUUUAAGUCGGAUGUGAAAUCCCUGAGCUUAACUUAGGAAUUGCAUUCGAUACUGGGAAGCUAGAGUAUGGGAGAGGAUGGUAGAAUUCCAGGUGUAGCGGUGAAAUGCGUAGAGAUCUGGAGGAAUACCGAUGGCGAAGGCAGCCAUCUGGCCUAAUACUGACGCUGAGGUACGAAAGCAUGGGGGGCAAACAGGAUUAGAUACCCUGGUAGUCCAUGCCGUAAACGAUGUCUACUAGCCGUUGGGGCCUUUGAGGCUUUAGUGGCGCAGCUAACGCGAUAAGUAGACCGCCUGGGGAGUACGGUCGCAAGACUAAAACUCAAAUGAAUUGACGGGGGCCCGCACAAGCGGUGGAGCAUGUGGUUUAAUUCGAUGCAACGCGAAGAACCUUACCUGGUCUUGACAUAGUAAGAACUUUCCAGAGAUGGAUUGGUGCCUUCGGGAACUUACAUACAGGUGCUGCAUGGCUGUCGUCAGCUCGUGUCGUGAGAUGUUGGGUUAAGUCCCGCAACGAGCGCAACCCUCGCCAUUAGUUGCCAUCAUUUAGUUGGGAACUCUAAUGGGACUGCCGGUGCUAAGCCGGAGGAAGGUGGGGAUGACGUCAAGUCCUCAUGGCCCUUACAGGGUGGGCUACACACGUGCUACAAUGGCAACUACAGAGGGUUAAUCCUUAAAAGUUGUCUCAGUUCGGAUUGUCCUCUGCAACUCGAGGGCAUGAAGUUG